ACCUGCGGAAGGAUCAUUACCGAGUGCGGGUCCUUUGGGCCCAACCUCCCAUCCGUGUCUAUUAUACCCUGUUGCUUCGGCGGGCCCGCCGCUUGUCGGCCGCCGGGGGGGCGCCUUUGCCCCCCGGGCCCGUGCCCGCCGGAGACCCCAACACGAACACUGUCUGAAAGCGUGCAGUCUGAGUUGAUUGAAUGCAAUCAGUUAAAACUUUCAACAAUGGAUCUCUUGGUUCCGGCAUCGAUGAAGAACGCAGCGAAAUGCGAUAACUAAUGUGAAUUGCAGAAUUCAGUGAAUCAUCGAGUCUUUGAACGCACAUUGCGCCCCCUGGUAUUCCGGGGGGCAUGCCUGUCCGAGCGUCAUUGCUGCCCUCAAGCCCGGCUUGUGUGUUGGGUCGCCGUCCCCCUCUCCGGGGGGACGGGCCCGAAAGGCAGCGGCGGCACCGCGUCCGAUCCUCGAGCGUAUGGGGCUUUGUCACAUGCUCUGUAGGAUUGGCCGGCGCCUGCCGACGUUUUCCAACCAUUUUUUCCAGG
rnacentral:rRNA from 1 species